rnacentral:lncRNA from 1 species
CUCGAAAAACAAAAAACAAAAAAAAACAAAAAAAAAACCCCAAAAAAAACAAAAAAGAAAGAAAGAGAGAGAAAAAGAAAGGAAGGAAGGAAGGAAGGAAGGAAGGAAGGAAGGAAGGAAGAAAGAAAGAAAGAAAGAAAGAAAGAAAGAAAGAAAGAAAGAAAGAAAGCCAGCCAGCCCAGGAGAGACACACAGAAUAUGGUGGGCCUUAAGGGACCCCUCAUACCUGAUGCAGACAGCUCUGGACAAGCUAGUGAGACUCUGCCUCAAAAUGGAAAUGGAAAGAGGAGAGGCCUCAGGAAGUAAGUAGUUCAGUUGUUGGGCCUUGGGUUCAGUCAGCAGUGUAGGGUGGGAGAGACGGGCUAGGGCCUAGAGAUGGGAGAGCAAACCACCAUGACCCAGAAAGAGGCCAGCUCAGGCCAGCCCACCCGACACCAGGAGACCCCAGAGCACAGGCCAACUUUCCUGGUGAGAGAAGACGUUCUUUAGGCCUGAGAGAUUUCUAUCUUGUUCUUGCCCCAGCUGGCUGGGUCACUAGGCAGCGACAGUUCCAGUAUGGUCACUGGCUAGUCUCAGUAGCCCAUGGACCCUGACCUGUGGUGUCUGCAGCAGCAACCAGAGACACUGUCCCACAGGAUUUUAUGUAACGGGGAGAAAGCAACCCUGCAGCUAUACAUAGAAGGGAAGUAGCAGAGCCGGGCAGUGGUGGUGCACACCUUUAAUCCCAGCACUUGGGAGGCAAAGGCAGGAGGAUUUCUGAGUUUGAGGCCAGUCUGGUCUACAGAGUGAGUUCCAGGACAGCCAGGGCUAUACAGAGAAACACUGUCUUGAAAAAUCAGAAAAAAAGGGGGUAGGGGAGUAGUGAAGGUGGGGUGGAGCAGUGUAGCAUUGAUUGACAGCUUGGGGCAAGUGGGCACUUGCUCCCAGGGCUCACCUGAGCCUCAAGGGCACAGCUGUCAGGAUGCUAGGAAGGCCUAGGUGUAGCCAGCCCAUCAGCCUGCCAGCCAGCCAGGGCUUCUACAGUGUCCUGAUGUUUGCUUCUGUGUGGGCUCUCUUGGUCCAGGAAUCACAAGGCUUCUGUUGUGGGAUGUGGGUGUGGCUGUUGGGGGGUGGGGAGUGGGUUUUGGCCCUGCAGAUAUUUAUUUCCAGCCUGGAGAGGGAUUCACGUUUCACACUUUAACAGAGCUACUCUAGUGUUCGAAUUUAUGCGAGGUGACAAAUUCUGCACUUGCCACCUUAAAGCAUCCCCCGGGCUUCGCUGCUCUGCCCACAGACAAAUCAAAACCAGCUCAGACAUAAAAGUUGGAAUUUUUUUUUUCAUUUGUCUGCUCUUCUGGUCCAUUUUGGGAAGAAAAGGGAAAAAAAUAACAAAAUCACAGGAGAUGGGGCAAUCGGCUACAGUCAGUUUGGAAUCUCAGAAAUGCCGGGAGCUCUGUCCGUGCCAUGACCUACCCUGUGAUGAGGCCACCUUCCUUCUGGAAAUGCUGUGACUUCAGGGCGAGAAUCUGCUGUCAACUCACACGCCUGCCCCUAAUACACACUCAAAAAAAAAAAAAAAAAAAAAAAAAGAAAGAAAGAAAGCUGAGAACAGCCCAAGUGUCGGGUGUCGGGCUUCCAGGGAUUGUGAACUCGCCUGCUGCUGCCUGGUUCCCACAGCCCCAAGGGUCCUCACUCACAGCACCACGUCAUCCAGAAAUAGUGCAGGAUGCCACAGCAGCGGAGGAAGAUUUCCUCUCUUCCUGGAAGGUGCGCUGGAGUUGGAGCAGAACGAGAGGAAACCGGGGAAGGAGCCUCAGCAACAGCCUGUCCGUCCCUGUCGCUGCCCCAGGAAUCCUCAAGUGAAACAGUCUCCUAAACACUGGCUGGCAGGAGAUGCAAAUGGGAGGUAUUUUUAGGGCAUAUUAAAGCACCCGAGCUGUAAUUUGCAGACUGAAGCCUGCCCCUCCCCUCCUCGAUGAAAUCUAUGGGAGAUGUGGCUCCUGCUUUUAAAAACCUGGCUUUGGGAGUGACUUGGCUGUUCCACACAGGAGGGGAAAGUAUGCUCAUUGUGCAUGCAAACAAUACCACAGGCUACAAGACAAUGCAGCAAGGGAAAAAAAAAAAAACAAAAAACAAAACAAAACAAAAAAACCCAAAACGUCACUCCUGGCCUUGCCUAGGAAUUUUACCCAUUCACAAGGGUGAGAGCUGGGUGUGGCCCAGUAUCGACUAUCAGAGGGAGACAGAGGGACAGGACCAAAGGUCUCCUUCAGUUCCAGAAGAGAAGCAAUGGAGAGAAGCUAAAGGCCACUGCACAUCACAUCCAUAGAUCUUGCCAUGACUCAGGAGGGUUACUCUGUGAGAUCCUCAGAGACAGCCAGAAAACCGUGACAAGGUCUGCAAAGGUACCAGCUCACCAGUUCUUCCAGAGAUGACCUUGGCCUUGGGUCAGAACAAGAGGGGAGAGAUGGACUUGGGAUAGAGAAGGGAUCCAGAAACAGGCCAAGGGCACUGGGAUCUACCUAGGACAAAGAGGAUGUUGUGCAUCUCUAGGGAAGAGUCCUUGGGGGUGUACUCUGAGCAUGCGUGAGGAGAUGAGACUGACCUCUUUCCCUCAUACUUGGGAUCGGAUGUGAGACAUGAAUAAGUGUUGGGAGAAAGUGGGAGCCUUACCUGCACACAGGAAGUGGUGCUCUCACUGUGGCUCAAAGAAAGGGCCACAGACAUGAGAGAAGACCCCUUUGAACAGCUUUUUAAAACGUGACAGGCUGGAGUGAUGGCUCACUAGUUAAGAGCACCUGUUGCUUUUGCAGAAGACUCAGGUUCGGUGGCCAGCACCCACAGGGUGAUUUAUUCCCAUCUGUAACUCCAGUUCCGG